ensembl:lncRNA
GGGGGGGUCAAAGUGGAUCAUCUCAGAUCUCCAUAAGUGUUUAGGAUGUAUAGGUUUUAGGGGGAUGAUUUGGGAUUGGCCCAGGCGCUCCACUUCUAAAUUGACCCACUUUAUGACAACAGUUUUUCAAUGGACCCUUGAAGCGGACCCUUUUUUUUUUUUUACAUCUGAGAUUAAUUGCUGGUCUGGAAUGUCUCCUGUUGUUAUAUUUCAAUAACACUGUUUUCUGAGCGUCAUAUUUAAAUUUAAAAAACACAGUAAAAAAUGUGUGAUAGAAAAGUCUGACUGUCUCUAUUACCAUUCAGUAGGUCCCAUAGAAUUAUGUGGUCACUCCCAGUAAGGUCAACUUAAAAUUAUGUGGUCAACUUUGAGUGGUUGAUAUCCCAUGGUUAUAUGCGCUGUGCUCAGGAGCCUGGGGACAAGGUGUCCGUGUACUGACCAUGUUGAGUGGUUCAUGUGUGGUCUAUCUAUGGUCAGAGGGAGCUGGGGUGCCGACGGUGAGAGGAGGUGGAGAGGACGGUGGGAGUGGAGGUGGUUGGAGGUGGAGAGGACAGUGGGAGUGGAGAGGACGGUGAGAGUAGAGGGGACGGUGGGAGUGGAGGUGGUGGAGGUGUUUGGGGUGGAGAGGACAGUGGGAGUGGAAAGGACGGUGGGAG